UGGGGAAUAUUGCACAAUGGGCGCAAGCCUGAUGCAGCCAUGCCGCGUGUAUGAAGAAGGCCUUCGGGUUGUAAAGUACUUUCAGCGGGGAGGAAGGGAGUAAAGUGAAUACCUUUGCUCAUGGAAGUUACCGACAGAAGAAGCACCGGCUAACUCCGUGCCAGCAGCCGCGGUAAUACGGAGGGUGCAAGCGUUAAUCGGAAUUACUGGGCGUAAAGCGCACGCAGGCGGUCUGUCAAGUCGGAUGUGAAAUCCCCGGGCUCAACCUGGGAACUGCCUUCGAAACUGGCAGGCUAGAGUCUUGUAGAGGGUGGUAGAAUUCCAGGUGUAGCGGUGAAAUGCGUAGAGAUCUGGAGGAAUCCCGGUGGCGAAGGCGGCCCCCUGGACAAAGACUGACGCUCAGGUGCGAAAGCGUGGGGAGCAAACAGG
rnacentral:rRNA from 1 species